GAUUGAACGCUGGCGGUAUGCUUAACACAUGCAAGUCGAACGGAAACGAUACUAGCUUGCUAGUAGGCGUCGAGUGGCGGACGGGUGAGUAACGCGUAGGAAUCUGCCUGAUAGUGGGGGAUAGCCCGAAGAAAUUCGGAUUAAUACCGCAUAAUCUAUUCGUAGUAAAGUGGGGGACUUUCGAGCCUCACGCUAUCAGAUGAGCCUGCGUAAGAUUAGCUAGUUGGUAGGGUAAAAGCCUACCAAGGCAACGAUCUUUAGCUGGUCUGAGAGGAUGAUCAGCCACAUCGGGACUGAGACACGGCCCGAACUCCUACGGGAGGCAGCAGUGGGGAAUAUUGGACAAUGGGGGCAACCCUGAUCCAGCAAUACCGCGUGUGUGAAGAAGGCCUGAGGGUUGUAAAGCACUUUCAAUUGUGAAGAAAAGUUAACGGUUAAUAACCGUUAGCCUUGACGUUAACUUUAGAAGAAGCACCGGCUAACUCCGUGCCAGCAGCCGCGGUAAUACGGAGGGUGCAAGCGUUAAUCGGAAUUACUGGGCGUAAAGCGUGCGUAGGCGGUUUAUUAAGUCAGAUGUGAAAGCCCCGGGCUUAACCUGGGAACUGCAUUUGAAACUGGUCAACUAGAGUAUGGUAGAGGAAAGUGGAAUUUCUGGUGUAGCGGUGAAAUGCGUAGAUAUCAGAAGGAACAUCAAUGGCGAAGGCAGCUUUCUGGACCAAUACUGACGCUGAGGUACGAAAGCGUGGGUAGCAAACAGGAUUAGAUACCCUGGUAGUCCACGCCGUAAACGAUGAUAACUAGCCGUUGGGGGGAUUUACCCUUUAGUGGCGAAGCUAACGCGUUAAGUUAUCCGCCUGGGGAGUACGGCCGCAAGGUUAAAACUCAAAGGAAUUGACGGGGACCCGCACAAGCGGUGGAGCAUGUGGUUUAAUUCGAUGCAACGCGAAGAACCUUACCUGGUCUUGACAUCCUGCGAACUUUCUAGAAAUAGAUUGGUGCCUUCGGGAACGCAGUGACAGGUGCUGCAUGGCUGUCGUCAGCUCGUGUCGUGAGAUGUUGGGUUAAGUCCCGUAACGAGCGCAACCCCUAUCCUUAUUUGCCAGCACGUCAUGGUGGGAACUAUAAGGAGACUGCCGGUGAUAAACCGGAGGAAGGCGGGGACGACGUCAAGUCAUCAUGGCCCUUACGACCAGGGCUACACACGUGCUACAAUGGGAAGGACAAAGAGCCGCGAAGCCGCGAGGUGUAGCUAAUCUCAGAAACCUUUUCGUAGUCCGGAUUGGAGUCUGCAACUCGACUCCAUGAAGUCGGAAUCGCUAGUAAUCGUAGAUCAGAAUGCUACGGUGAAUACGUUCCCGGGUCUUGUACACACCGCCCGUCAAGGGC
rnacentral:rRNA from 1 species